rnacentral:rRNA from 2 species
UCUGACGGAGCACGCCGCGUGAGUGAUGAAGGCUUUCGGGUCGUAAAACUCUGUUGUUAGGGAAGAACAAGUACGAGAGUAACUGCUCGUACCUUGACGGUACCUAACCAGAAAGCCACGGCUAACUACGUGCCAGCAGCCGCGGUAAUACGUAGGUGGCAAGCGUUAUCCGGAAUUAUUGGGCGUAAAGCGCGCGCAGGCGGUUUCUUAAGUCUGAUGUGAAAGCCCACGGCUCAACCGUGGAGGGUCAUUGGAAACUGGGGAACUUGAGUGCAGAAGAGAAAAGCGGAAUUCCACGUGUAGCGGUGAAAUGCGUAGAGAUGUGGAGGAACACCAGUGGCGAAGGCGGCUUUUUGGUCUGUAACUGACGCUGAGGCGCGAAAGCGUGGGGAGCAAACAGGAUUAGAUACCCUGGUAGUCCACGCCGUAAACGAUGAGUGCUAAGUGUUAGAGGGUUUCCGCCCUUUAGUGCUGCAGCUAACGCAUUAAGCA